AGAGUUUGAUCCUGGCUCAGGAUGAACGCUAGCGGCAGGCCUAAUACAUGCAAGUCGAGGGGCAGCGGGAGUAGCAAUACUUGCCGGCGACCGGCGCACGGGUGCGUAACGCGUAUGCAAUGUACUCUCUACUGGCGAAUAGCCCUUCGAAAGAAGGAUUAAUACGCCAUAAUAUUCGGGUGUGGCAUCACACUCCAAUUAAAGCUCAGGCGGUAGAGAAUCAGCAUGCGUGACAUUAGCUAGUUGGUGAGGUAACGGCUCACCAAGGCUACGAUGUCUAGGGGUUCUGAGAGGAUGAUCCCCCACACUGGUACUGAGACACGGACCAGACUCCUACGGGAGGCAGCAGUAAGGAAUAUUGGACAAUGGCCGCAAGGCUGAUCCAGCCAUGCCGCGUGAAGGAUGACGGCCCUAUGGGUUGUAAACUUCUUUUGUUUGGGAGAAAACCCCUGUACGUGUACAGGGCUGAUAGUACCAAAAGAAUAAGGAUCGGCUAACUCCGUGCCAGCAGCCGCGGUAAUACGGAGGAUCCAAGCGUUGUCCGGAUUUACUGGGUUUAAAGGGUGCGUAGGCGGAAUUUUAAGUCAGUGGUGAAAGCCCUUCGCUCAACGAAGGAACUGCCAUUGAAACUGAAAUUCUUGAAUACGGUUGAGGUAGAUGGAAUAUAACAUGUAGCGGUGAAAUGCUUAGAUAUGUUAUAGAACACCGAUUGCGAAGGCAGUCUACUAAGCCGUGAUUGACGCUGAGGCACGAAAGCGUGGGGAGCGAACAGGAUUAGAUACCCUGGUAGU
rnacentral:rRNA from 1 species